rnacentral:rRNA from 1 species
GAUGAACGCUAGCGGCAGGCCUAAUACAUGCAAGUCGAACGGUAACAGGAGUAGCAAUACUUGCUGACGAGUGGCGCACGGGUGCGUAACGCGUAUGCAAUCUACCUUUAACUGGUGAAUAGCCCGAAGAAAUUCGGAUUAACACACCAUAGUAUUGUUUGUUGGCAUCAACAGACAAUUAAAACUCCGGUGGUUAAAGAUGAGCAUGCGUGACAUUAGCAGUUGGUAAGGUAAUGGCUUACCAAGGCUACGAUGUCUAGGGGAUCUGAGAGGAUUAACCCCCACACUGGUACUGAGACAGGGACCAGACUCCUACGGGAGGCAGCAGUAGGGAAUAUUGCGCAAUGGAGGAAACUCUGACGCAGCGA